AAUAAAGGCAACAGUAGUAUACCGUUGUUCAAAACUCAUAAAUCCAUGGACAAAAAACAAAAUCGGGGUAACAAACUAAAACCGAGGGAAACGCAUUAAAAAUAAGAGGAGAACAACGACACAACACCGAAACGCAACACACACAGAAACGGACCAAGCAGCAGACAAAACACCACGAGAAUAACAAAUAUAACAUCAAAACCAAAUACAUGAAUUUGGGAUAGACAAGUACCGUGCCACGUCUUAUCUCAAUAUAUCAAAAAUAAGAGAAAACACAAACGACUCAACGUUAAAAUGCAACACACACAGAAACGAAC
rnacentral:lncRNA from 1 species